AAGCACUGAGGGGAGCCUAGGCUCCCCUCAAAGAUUGUUGCGUGCUCUUUUUUUGUUAUUGGAGGGCGGCCUGUUGUUGUUUUUGGCGACCGUUGCCUCUGUAUCUUUGGCGAUCCCCAUCCGGGAUCAAGAGCAAACGUAUUUUUUUGAGCGCUGAUCUACCUUCAUCAUUGCUGAUCCAACCGUGACCUGCGCUACCUUGGGGUAGUU
rnacentral:misc_RNA from 1 species